UACAGAGGGUGCGAGCGUUGUCCGGAAUUAUUGGGCGUAAAGAGCUCGUAGGCGGUUUGUCGCGUCUGCUGUGAAAACUCGAGGCUCAACUCCGAGCUUGCAGUGGGUACGGGCAGACUAGAGUGUGGUAGGGGAGACUGGAAUUCCUGGUGUAGCGGUGAAAUGCGCAGAGUAUCAGGAGGAACACCGAUGGCGAAGGCAGGUCUCUGGGCCAAUAACUGACGCUGAGAAGCGAAAGCAUGGGGAGCGAACAGGA
rnacentral:rRNA from 1 species